UGGGGAAUUUUGGACAAUGGACGCAAGUCUGAUCCAGCCAUGCCGCGUGCGGGAAGAAGGCCUUCGGGUUGUAAACUGCUUUUGUACGGAGCGAAAAGGUCAGCCCUAAUACGGUGGGCUCAUGACGGUACCGUAAGAAUAAGCACCGGCUAACUACGUGCCAGCAGCCGCGGUAAUACGUAGGGUGCAAGCGUUAAUCGGAAUUACUGGGCGUAAAGCGUGCGCAGGCGGUUAUGCAAGACAGAGGUGAAAUCCCCGGGCUCAACCUGGGAACUGCCUCUGUGACUGCAUAGCUAGAGUACGGUAGAGGGGGAUGGAAUUCCGCGUGUAGCAGUGAAAUGCGUAGAUAUGCGGAGGAACACCGAUGGCGAAGACAAUCCCCUGGACCUGUACUGACGCUCAUGCACGAAAGCGUGGGGAGCAAACA
rnacentral:rRNA from 1 species